UCGCCCGCCGCGCGCGGCGGGCUACGGGAGGCAGCAGUAGGGAAUCUUCGGCAAUGGACGAAAGUCUGACCGAGCAACGCCGCGUGAGUGAAGAAGGUUUUCGGAUCGUAAAACUCUGUUGGUAGAGAAGAACGUUGGUGAGAGUGGAAAGCUCAUCAAGUGACGGUAACUACCCAGAAAGGGACGGCUAACUACGUGCCAGCAGCCGCGG
rnacentral:rRNA from 1 species